CGCCUUUUCUUGGGAAAUUCGGCGGUCUUCAAUUACCUGGCAGCACGAGGCCUUGAGGGGAACUUCCGGACAAAUCCAAAAAUUUGUCCUCCUCGCCAGAAGGCUUGUAUUAAUCAUUUCUACCUGUACUUAAAGGUAAUUGGAGGCUUCUUGGGGCUUUGGGGCAGCGCCCGCACUAUUUCUUAUCAUUCUAACUAAUGCUGUGCAUCUUCCAAAGGUAAUUGGAUACUCCUUGUGGCUCUCUGGGCAGCGCCCGUGACAUUAUUUUCCUAUUCUAACGUUUGCUGUAUGUAUUAAAAGGUAAUUGGAGGCUUCUUGGGGCUUUGGGGCAGCGCCCGCACUAUUUCUUAUCAUUCUAACUAAUGCUGUGCAUCUUCCAAAGGUACGUGCUAUACAUAAAUUGGCCCUCCGACCCUACAACUGAACCACAUCCGUCAGAAGUUAUACAGUCCACACCUGACAAGCUACAAUGAUUUGUGAGCGAGAAGGAAUUGCGUCCCAAGUGACCAGGGUCGAGAAUUAUCUGGAUGG